GUCCUGGCCCUAAACGGUGCUCACUUGGUGUAGGAGGGAAUCGACCCCUUCUGUGCCGAAGCUAACGCAUUAAGUGAGCCGCCUGGGGAGUACGGUCGCAAGAUUAAAACUCAAAGAAAUUGACGGGGGCCCGCACAAGCGGUGGAGCAUGUGGCUUAAUUCGAUGCAACGCGAAGAACCUUACCUGGCCUUGACAUGUACGUAGUAGAAACCGAAACGGUGACGAGGUAGCAAUACCAGCGUACACAGGUGCUGCAUGGCUGUCGU
rnacentral:rRNA from 1 species